UAGAGUGCUGGAAAAGAAAGAGGGGGUACUGAGAGAAGAGGAUGAUGGAGUAAUGGACCCUCCUAGAAACUUUGAAAUACUGCAACCGAGGGGGUGGCUAGACAAUCUCUCUCUCUCUCUCUCUGUGAGUCUCGCAGUGGUUCUUUUGUAGAUUCCAGCUUUCUCCCACUACCCACUUGGAAGUGGAUUUUGGCCUACAGCCAAGUGAGAGUUCAUUUCAAUAACAUAAUUGCUCUCUCCUCAAGAUUCCUCAUUAUUUUACGCGCUCCAAAUCCAACCAGAACCUCAAUUAGGUCCACAAGCAAUAUUCCAAUCACAAUAGCAACUAUGAAUAUCAGGCCAGGCCAAAAAAAAAAAAAUCAUGGGUGGGGGCUCGUGGGACCCUCCAGUCCAUUAUCUUGCCCACUAUGCAAACAGAUGAGAGCAUGCUUGCUUGCCAUUCAUCAAUAUUCUCUGAGACAGUGACUGACAGUUACCACGGCUUCUUAUUUUCACUACAACUUGAAGGAAAGGUUUCACUAAUCUUUGAAGCUCAGAGAGUUAAAAGUUCCGUACAUAAGUGGUCAAAUAAGAGAAAUCAAAUAGAAGGGAGUAUGUCUGUAAUAUAUGCAUGAUUCUUUUUUGGUUAAAAAAAAGUUUAUUGGGUUGAUGCAAGUUUCAUUGUUCUAAUAGCAUUUUUAGAGUUCUUACAAAUUACAGAUACAUUGAGUCCUCGUAAGUCAUAAUAAUAGUGGAAUUUGAGUUUAUGCCUUUGUGGGGUAUUAAUUGUAUAAUUAGCAGCAAAACCAACUUUCAUUUUUGGCCUCUUGUAUAAUAGAAGGGGCAACCAACGAUGAACAACUUGUGGGUCUGGAACUCCUAAGAAAAAGAAUCCUGCACUGAUUGCUUUGGAGAUAAACCAAAGGGCUGAUUUUUCACUAUUGGCCAAUGAAGAUCUUUUUACUUGUUAUACAAUAUCACUUUUCAGCUGUC